GAUGAACGCUGGCGGCGUGCCUAACACAUGCAAGUCGAGCGAGAUUAAGUGUAGUGGAGACUUCGGUCAAAGUGAAGCUUUUGAAAGCGGCGGACGGGUGAGUAACGCGUGGGCAACCUGCCCCAUACAGAGGGAUGGCCACUGGAAACGGUGAUUAAUACCUCAUAAGUCAGUAGGAUCGCAUGAUUUAGCUGACAAAGAUUUAUCGGUAUGGGAUGGGCCCGCGUCUGAUUAGCUAGUUGGUGAGGUAACGGCUCGCCAAGGCGACGAUCAGUAGCCGACCUGAGAGGGUGAUCGGCCACACUGGAACUGAGACACGGUCCAGACUCCUACGGGAGGCAGCAGUGGGGAAUAUUGCACAAUGGGCGCAAGCCUGAUGCAGCAACGCCGCGUGAGUGAUGAAGGCCUUCGGGUUGUAAAACUCUGUCCUAUGGGAAGAAACAAAUGACGGUACCAUGGGAGGAAGCCCCGGCUAACUACGUGCCAGCCGCCGCGGUAACAC
rnacentral:rRNA from 1 species